GUCGUAUGCUCGUCUCCGAGACUAAGCCAUGCAAGUCCAAGUACACGUCCUUGAACGACGGAAACUGCGAACGGCUCAUUAAAUCAGUUGCGAUCUACUCGGCGUUCCGCGCCGCCGGAUAACCGUAGUAAUUCUAGGGCUAAUACGUGCGAAGCGCCCGAAGCCGAGGCGACGGGCGUUCUCGCCGGAUGUAGGAACCGACCCGGGGACCGCCGGGGCAACCCGGCGCCCCCGAGACGGGGCGAACCACGGUGAAAUGACGGAUCGUCGGCCCCGCGCCGGCGACUCGCCGAAUGAGUUUCUGACCUAUCAACUCGAGACGGCGGGGUAGAGGCCCGCCGCGGUAACGACGGGUAACGGGGAAUCAGGGUUCGAUUCCGGAGAGGGAGCCCGAGAAACGGCUACCACUUCCAAGGAAGGCAG
rnacentral:rRNA from 1 species